GACGAACGCUGGCGGCGUGCUUAACACAUGCAAGUCGAACGGAAAGGCCCUGCUUUUGUGGGGUGCUCGAGUGGCGAACGGGUGAGUAACACGUGAGUAACCUGCCCUUGACUUUGGGAUAACUUCAGGAAACUGGGGCUAAUACCGGAUAGGAGCUCCUGCUGCAUGGUGGGGGUUGGAAAGUUUCGGCGGUUGGGGAUGGACUCGGGGCUUAUCAGCUUGUUGGUGGGGUAGUGGCUUACCAAGGCUUUGACGGGUAGCCGGCCUGAGAGGGUGACCGGCCACAUUGGGACUGAGAUACGGCCCAGACUCCUACGGGAGGCAGCGGUGGGGAAUAUUGCACAAUGGGCGGAAGCCUGUUGCAGCAACGCCGCGUGCGGGAUGACGGCCUUCGGGUUGUAAACCGCUUUCGCCUGUGACGAAGCGUGAGUGACGGUAAUGGGUAAAGAAGCACCGGCUAACUACGUG
rnacentral:rRNA from 1 species